GAGGAUUACCUUCUCGGAUCCAAGGUUAUCCCACCUCCCUGCAAGGUGUUUGAUUAUUUGCCCAGGUUACCCCAUCUCCUGCACUGAAUGUGUUUGAGGAUUUGCCUCUUCUGAAGAUUUGUCGGCUCUGAAGAACAUAUAGUUGAACCUUAUUUCGUUGUGCAAGUAGAUAAUUGUGGCACAAUACAAAAAUCAGAUAUGAGAUUUUUCAGUUGCAU